UACGGGCGGCAGCAGUGAGGAAUUUUGCGCAAUGGGGGAAACCCUGACGCAGCGACGCCGCGUGCGGGAAGAAGGCCUUCGGGUCGUAAACCGCUGUCAAGAGGGAAGAACCACCACGAGUCGAAUAGGCUUGUGGUCUGACGGUACCUCUAGAGGAAGCACCGGCUAACUCCGUGCCAGCAGCCGCGGUAAUACGGAGGGUGCGAGCGUUAAUCGGAAUCACUGGGCGUAAAGCGUGCGUAGGCGGCGCGGUAAGUCAGAAGUGAAAGCCCUCGGCUCAACCGAGGAAUUGCUUUUGGUACUGCCGAGCUUGAGUCUCGGAGAGGUUGGCGGAAUUCCAGGUGUAGGAGUGAAAUCCGUAGAUAUCUGGAGGAACACCAGUGGCGAAGGCGGCCAACUGGACGAGUACUGACGCUGAGGUACGAAAGCGUGGGGAGCAAACAGGAUUAGAUACCCCAGUAGUC
rnacentral:rRNA from 1 species